AUUAUUUAAUAUCAGUUGCAGAUAAACAUACCUAUAAUAUUUUAACAUUGAAUUUUAGACACAUUUAACAAAAAUCGUCAACGGUGCCAUACCCAGUAAACGCCACAGGUUAUUUAAGCAAAUGAUCCAUGGGCGAAAUCAAGCUCAGACUGAACUCACCGAUCUCUACAUGACGUGUCCUUUAACUCGAACUCAAGCAAAAGAUCUGUUGAAUGUAGUCAAAGAAAUAGUCACAGAUAUUUUUCGAUCCUUUGAUGAAACAAAUUCAAUGAACAUCAACUACAUGUAUAACGUUUUAUUCCCUGAGGCCUGCAUAUAUUGUAUACAAAAAAUUGAGCGUUGUCUCCGAAAUAACGCUGAAAAAAUUUUAUAAUUGUGCGAGUGGAGUUCAAGACGGUGCAGACUCUGAAAGUGACUAACCUUGUUGUCUACCGAAAAACCUGAAAGCUGUAGUGGAUCUUGUAAAAAUUUGAGGAUUUUCAAGAGCUUGAAGUGACUGCACAAACCUGUUAUACAUCAUCGCUGGUGCUUUCAUAGUCGUGUGUAAAAAUAUCGCUUUACCAUAUUCAACAUCAAGUACGUUUUCAUGGUUAAUAAAACUAUUCAAAAAGUCAG